rnacentral:tRNA from 1 species
AAGAUACUAGUAUAGCACCAAUACACUGCCUUGUCAAGGCAGAGUCGUAGGUUAAAACCCUGCGUAUCUUG